GCUGCAGAGGUGCCCGGAGUCACACGGCACAAACCAAUUGCUUUGUAGGGAAGGGACCGUGGUCCGUGUCCGUGCAGUGCAUGCUCACUGACUGCUCACUGCUCGCCUGGCGUGCUGCAGAUCCCCAAGGCAUAAGGACACCUACCUUCUCCCCGGGAUAUGGCAGCUGACAUCCAGGGAAUGACAACUGUGUCCAGCACCAUCUGGGAGGAGGUGCGCUGUGAACUCAUUCAGACUUCACAGCUGCCCUCACAGACAGAUCUGUUACCUCACCCAGCAGAGGAGGACAUGCAGGUGCCCAGGAGGAGUCUUCUUUUACAAGGAAAAAUAUAUGUGUGUAUUUCUCCCAACCCAGGAAGGGCAAAGAAAUGAGACCCUUGGGAGCUGAAUUCUUCACUGCACAGCUAUUUAAUCAAUCGAUCUGGAACAGACAUCCCAUGUUGUCGCAUGCUAAUUGGGAGACAGUUUGAAGCACAGUCUCCUGGAUGGCAGUGGAUCGAGCCAGGAGGGAGCCUGAGAGCUCUGACUGCACAGGCCCUGCACAAAGAGCUCAUGCUAGGCUGAACUAGGACAAACCCAGAGCUUCAGGGAUGACCCAGCCUCAGCAGACUUCCAGAAGAGACAGCCACACCUCAUCCCGUCCUCCCUCCCUGCAGUGUGGAACAGAGCAACCCACUGGACGUGAUCUCUCUCCACUCCAAUAUCCCUUCAGAACGUGUCCUGUAGAGAAAUGGACAGAGUCACCUUGAACACUGACCUCUUUACCACUCUAACUCAUCUUGGCCACAGAGGCCUCCUUCUAAAUAAAACAUUCAGCCACUUUAUAGGGGAC
rnacentral:lncRNA from 1 species